UGGCUCAGUGGAUAGAGCAUCAGCCUGUGGACUGAAGGGUCCUGGGUUCAAUUCCCGG
rnacentral:tRNA from 1 species